rnacentral:lncRNA from 1 species
CAAAAAGUAAUUAGAGGAACUCCAAAAUGUAGAUUUGGCUUUGUCUAUUGAAGAUUCAUUUGAGUCUAAAGUAUGGUUUGUCCUCUCCUUAUUUUUCUUAUGAAUAACUUUGAUAGAUAUUUUGGUAUAUUUGAUUUCAUUAUUCUUAUGAUGUGCUAGAUCUACCUCUUGGGGUUAUGCUUGAUUAGGGUGCAAAUGUGUGUGGGUUGU